GCCUUCGUGGUGUAGUGGUUCUGCACGCUGGGCUGGCAUUCCAGAGGUCCGUGGUUCGAUUCCUGGGGAAGGCG
rnacentral:tRNA from 1 species